GCGACUNNGANANGACGNGAANCCUGANGCAGCGACGCCGCGUGCGGGAUGAAGGCCUUCGGGUUGUAAACCGCUUUCAGCAGGGACGAGGCCGCAAGGUGACGGUACCUGCAGAAGAAGCCCCGGCUAACUACGUGCCAGCAGCCGCGGUAAUACA
rnacentral:rRNA from 1 species